CCUCGGCCCGUCUACAGUGGUGGGAGACAGGUUGGCUUGUGGGUGGAGUAGGCAAGCAAAAGACAACAGACGUUUUAAUACACUAGUAUUGUAUUCUAUAUAUUAAACAUUAAAAUGUAGCACAAUAUUGGUAGUGCACGCAGUUUUGGAGGAAGGUAAAUUUAGGUCCACCUUUUGUCAUUGCCAAGCUGUACUGACGUUACUCACUUGUUUACCACCGAACAUGACGAGUCGUACACCCCUUUCCCCCUGCUUUCUGCACCUUUGGGGUUGCUGGCCGGCCGAAAACAUCGGCGAUGGAAGUGGGUAGAGUGUGUGUCUGUGUGGGGGAGGGACAGGUUUGGGUGGGGGGCGCGAGGCGCGGGCCGCCCCGGGGGAGGGGUCCAGCUGACGGCGAGCUGACGGCGAGGUGCAGAACCCCGCGCCGCCGCCCCUGGACCAGACGUGAGCAGCCUCGCCGCCGCCGCCAUGCCCGCCCCCGCCUCCGAGACCGGCAGUCUCAUCAUGACCUACCUCAUCCUCAUCUUCCUGCUGGUCGCCCUGUGGGUCAUGUACGCGGGGCUGCUGUGACCCACCCGACAUGCCGUGAUCAGAUGACUGAUGAAACUUCCACCUGACCAAGCGCCCGCGCCCGGGAGGGUCGCCACCCCAGUUGCCCCUCGAAGACCACCCUCGGCUCGAGGUGCCGAGCCGUGCCUCGAACUCCUUCCAAAUACUGUAGUUUGUAAAUCUUAAGGCCACUACAAUGAUACUUGAUUAGUGAAGAUGUCUGACGUGAGUGACUUGAGUGUGAUGUGCAAAGCAGCCUGUGCUGUCUGAAUUAAAUGCCAGUUUGCGAAUAAAUGUACUAUUUGUGAAAAAA